rnacentral:rRNA from 1 species
CUGCAACCCGCCUGCGUGAAGUUGGAAUCGCUAGUAAUCGCGGAUCAGCAUGCCGCGGUGAAUACGUUCCCGGGCCUUGUACACACCGCCCGUCACACCAUGAGAGUCGGGAACACCCGAAGUCCGUAGCCUGACCGCAAGGGGGCGCGGCCGAAGGUGGGUUCGAUAAUUGGGGUGAAGUCGUAACAAGGUACC